rnacentral:sRNA from 1 species
GAAGCAGGUGAGGUCCUCAAAUGUCUGGGAGAAACAGUUCAGGGGCUCUGUGCCCAAGGCCAGCAAGAAGACAUCUGAGAACAGAGUUGUUCCAUACGGGUUAUAGGCUACGUUUGUUCAUUUCUAUGAAGAAAGCAAGUGAGCUCCAGACAGAGGCGUGCAAGUCUAUAGAUCACAUGUGAAGUCUCAUGAGACACCAAUAUCACCUGCCUUCCAGGUUGUUAAUCAGAGGACAUCGAUCACUUCAUCCGACAGGCAACGCUUCACUUUCACCCAGUCCCUGCAUAAUCCCUGUUCCACAGUGCAGCCAGAGUGAUGCUUCCAACACAAAAAUGCCAGCUUUGGACCCGUGGGCAGCUCAGUGGGCUACAGCACUUCCUGCACAUCCCAAGACACCCAACUUUCAUCCCAGAACCCAAGUGAAGUGGAAAGAGAGAACAAGCCCCACAGACGGUCCUCUGACCUCCACACACUCGCUGUGGCGCACUUGCCCACACAGGUCGCUCUUACAGUAUGGACUACCCACCUCUGGAUUUUACUGUAUGUUACACAUCUGCCACCUGUCAAGGACAUCCUCAUCUACAGGCAGGGUUUCAUGAAGUCCAGGCUGACCUCUGACCAGGAUGACCUUGAACUUCUGACUCUCUUGCCUCUAUUCCCCCCCAGUACUCGGAGUGCAGACCUAUAAUAUUAUGCCCAGUUUCUACGGUGCUGGGAAUCGGACCCAGGGCUUUGUGCAUUCUAGGCUAAUACUCUGUUCACUGAACUACAUUCCCAGCCCUAGACAACUUUAUUUAAAAAAAGAUAUAUUCUAUUUUUUAAGGUGUGUGUAUGUGUAUGUGGGGGUGGGUGAGUGUCAUGUGAGUACAAAUUCCUGUGGAGGCCAGCCUUCAGAGGGUCUCGGAUCUUCUGGAACUAGAUCUAGUUAUAAGCACUGGUUGUGGGCACCGAGACACAAACUCAGAGCCUUUGGGAAAGCAGGACAUGCACUUGAUCACCGACCCAUCUCUCCAGCCCUAGGACGGCCUUUUUCAAUGCCUGCCCCUGGACCACAUCCCUGCAGUGAGUGUCACGCUGAAGGUUCAUCUCCACAGGUCCCAUCUACCCCACAUCAGCCUCCCGUUCACUCCAGUGAAUUUCUUCUUCUUGAAUCACUUCAGGUUCCACACGUUCAGCUCUGUUCACUACAGAUCUUUGCAUUGUUGUAGAGUCCGCCAUCGUCAGAUAGCACUUAGCUACUACGUACAGGGCCCAGGCUUUCGGAAGACCUGAUUUGACACCAGCAACGACGAGGUAUGUAUAAUCAACCCCAUUUCUCAGAGGAGAAAAACAGGCUCAGAGAGGUUAAAUGGUGUGAGGAAGGCCACACAGGCAAUAUGUGGCACACAAGCACCUGAGCUCCAGUCUGUCAGUCUAGGAUCUGUGGUGUUAACUACACGGUCACAGUGGGUUGUUCAUCUGAUUCAUUGGGGAGAAAAAGAUUACACCUGUUUCCUAAGACCCUGUAGAGACAGCUGAGAACUCCCAUGAGCAAUCAAAGGGAAAGCAAGUCAGACAGACCACACACCACGGGAGUGUGGGUGGGGAUGAGGAAGGGACUCCCUUUCAGCUAGGAGAGGAACACCUCCCCCAGUACCACUCCAAAGGAAUUUACCUCAUCUGGCUGAGGUUGGAGGGCCUCUGCCUCUCUCCUUUUAGACCAAUUAGCUGGUUGUAAGCUGGUGACCUGCCAGAGAAGGGCUGCCUAGAAGUCAAAAGUGAGAGGAACACAAGUCCUCCAAAUCCAGCCACCAUCUCUCUGGGGCAGAAUGUCACUUGGAGCUAAACUGUGCUUCAGCCAAUCCUGGCAUAGACCGUGUUGGGGCAGAGCAAAGACUCUGAGGCUGGGGUGACUCCCCAUAGAUGCAGGGAGACAUCCUGGUGAGGAGGUUGGGAAGCAGGUAGGGGACCAAAGAGAAACUGUACCGUGAUUGGGAUGGAGGUGGGGACUGGUAGCAUGUGUGGUGUAUGUGGCCAAAGGGUCCUCCAGAACACCUAGUGCCCUGACGUAAGGG